rnacentral:rRNA from 1 species
UGGGGAAUUUUGGACAAUGGGGGCAACCCUGAUCCAGCAAUGCCGCGUGAGUGAAGAAGGCCUUCGGGUUGUAAAGCUCUUUUGUCAGGGAAGAAACGGUAGUAGCGAAUAACUAUUACUAAUGACGGUACCUGAAGAAUAAGCACCGGCUAACUACGUGCCAGCAGCCGCGGUAAUACGUAGGGUGCAAGCGUUAAUCGGAAUUACUGGGCGUAAAGCGUGCGCAGGCGGUUGUGUAAGUCAGAUGUGAAAUCCCCGGGCUCAACCUGGGAAUUGCAUUUGAGACUGCACGGCUAGAGUGUGUCAGAGGGGGGUAGAAUUCCACGUGUAGCAGUGAAAUGCGUAGAUAUGUGGAGGAACACCGAUGGCGAAGGCAGCCCCCUGGGUUAACACUGACGCUCAUGCACGAAAGCGUGGGGAGCAAACAGGAUUAGAUACCCAAGUAGUCCCUGAGCGGGCUGGCAAGGCGCAU